GCCGGUUUGAUAAGGUUUUGUGCUAUUUAAUUUAUUGCUGCUGAUUCUGGUGUUCUGAUUGUGUUAGUGAUUUGCCUUGAUGAAGAUCAGAUAGUGGCCUACCUGAGUUAUAUGAAACCUAUUCGAGAUUUAUCAAAACAUGUGUUGGUUUAUGAAUGCUAUAACAAAUCACGUACGUGUAUGCUAGAUAAAAGAAGCAACCAAGCUAGUAGCUUCAUGGCAUUUCAGCUCAUAUAGUUUUUUUUAUAUAAGAGAGAUUCUGCAGUUUAAUAGAACACAUCGUGAAUAAUUAUGAAUUUCCUUUUUUUAGGACUAUUUGGUUUGAUUGUAUAGCACAUGAGGGAGCAUUUAAUCUCUUGCGCAAAAACACCUUGCCAGAAAGAAAUAAUCUAUAUUGCCUCUGAUACUACAACCCGAUUUAUCUCUGUUCUUGCAAUAGGUUCUUUGCUCCUACCACAUGAUUGUUUGGCCUGCUAUGGUCCUGUAAUACAUCCAGAUGCUACAUUCUCCGGCACCAUAAUUGGUUUGGCUGCCUACAUGCUACCAUUUCUAACUGCUGAAUUCAUGGCAGGUGGUUCGGUUACUAUAGUCUCAUAGACUAGUCGUGCUACCUUCAAAGUGGUUACUAAUCGUACAUUAUUCGACAAGGCAAAAGAAUGGAUGGUUAUAUACCUGCUCAUUUUACAGCCAUCGCCUAUGCUCUCCCGCCGUCUUCGAUGAGGCGACGUCUCCCUGCUCCUUCCACGGCAUGAUGGCAGUGCACUGCAUCGUCUAAAGCACCCCCAUGGUGAGCCAUCUCCACUCCUCUAUUCCCCCGGCUGCUGCCAUGCACAUCGUCUAAAGCACCCCCAUGUUCAUGACAGUUGUUACUACAAAAGUA